rnacentral:rRNA from 1 species
AGCGAACGCUGGCGACAGGCUUAACACAUGCCAGUCGAGCGGGCACUUUCGGGUGUCAGCGGCGGACGGGUGAGUAACGCGUGGGAACGUGCCCUCUGGUUCGGAAUAACUCAGGGAAACUUGAGCUAAUACCGGAUACGCCCUUUUGGGGAAAGGCUUGCUGCCGGAGGAUCGGCCCGCGUCUGAUUAGCUAGUUGGUGAGGUAACGGCUCACCAAGGCGACGAUCAGUAGCUGGUCUGAGAGGAUGAUCAGCCACACUGGGACUGAGACACGGCCCAGACUCCUACGGGAGGCAGCAGUGGGGAAUAUUGGACAAUGGGCGCAAGCCUGAUCCAGCCAUGCCGCGUGAGUGAUGAAGGCCUUAGGGUUGUAAAGCUCUUUUAUCCGGGACGAUAAUGACGGUACCGGAGGAAUAAGCCCCGGCUAACUUCGUG